GGGUCGUAUGCUUAUUAUUGAGAUUAAUUACUAAUAUGUGAUAUAAUUCUAUGUGUAAUAAUAUUAAUUAAGAGCUUAUGAGGCGCAUGAUGUAUGAAUUGUAUGUCUGUAUAACUUACGUUAGUUAAUAAUAUAAAAUUAAUGUCAUUAGUAAAACCUCUUUGAAAUAGAUUGCAUAAACGAUUAUAAAAACUAUAAUGUCAUAAAAUGUAUUCGAAGUUCGAUUCGGGGUUGACAUUCGAGUAAGAAGACAAGAGGAAACAGAAUAUGUUUUUUAUAGUGCAAAUGUUCGACGAAAUGUUAAUUUAAUUUAAUAUUAAUAAAUGAUAAGAGAAGUAAGAUUGUAAAAUAGAAUGAUAAAGUAAUAAAUGAGUUGUAAAUAUUGAUGGAGUUGUUUGAGCUUUUGGCCGAUGCCAACAGUUCAGAAGGGGAUCUUACAAGGAUAUAAAAAACUUCCUUUCACGCCUACAAAGUGCCUACAAAUUUUGACAUGGAUGAAAAUUAUACCCAAGGACAAGGGUUAAGGAUGGAUAAAGGUCAAGGACAAGACCUAGGGAUUGAUGAAGGCCGAGGUUAAGGCCGAAGGAAGGAUUUAUUUAUUUAUUUACAUUAUUUAUUUAUUUAUUUUAUUUAUUUAUAUAAAGGUCGAGGACAAGACCUAAGGAAUGAUGAUGGUCGAGGUUAAGGCCGAAGGAAGGAGUUAUUUAUUUAUUUAUUUUAUUUAUAUUAAGGUCGAGGACAAGACCUAAGGAAUGAUGAUGGUCGAGGUUAAGGCCGAAGGAAGGAUUUAUUUAUUUAUUUAUAUAAAGGUCGAGGACAAGACCUAGGGAAUGAUGAUGGUCGAGGUUAAGACCGAAGGAAGGAUUUAUUUAUUUAUUUACAUUAUUUAUUUAUUUAUUUUAUUUAUUUAUAUAAAGGUCGAGGAUAAGACCUAAGUAAUGAUGAUGGUCGAGGUUAAGGCCGAAGGAAGGAAUUAUUUAUUUAUUUAUUUUAUUUAUUUAUUUAUAUAAAGGUCGAGGAUAAGACCUAAGGAUUGAUGAUGGUCGAGGACAAGACCUAGGGAUUGAUGAUGGUCGAGGACAAGACCAAAGGAUGGAUAAAGGUCGAGGACGAGACCUAGGGAUUGAUGAUGGUCGAGGACAAGACCAAAGGAUGGAUAAAGGUCGAGGACGAGACCUAGGGAUUGAUGAUGGUCGAGGACAAGACCAAAGGAUGGAUAAAGGUCGAGGACGUGACCUAGAGAUUGAUGAUGGUCAAGGAUAAGAACAAAGGAUUUAUGAUGGUCGAGGCUAAGACCGAAGGAAGGAUUGAUGAUGGUUGAAUUCAAGAACUAAGGGGUGAAAAGUCGAGGUCAAGACUUAAUGGAUGGAUGAAGAUUGAAGUUAAAACCUGGUGCAUGAGGACAAGGGCGUCAAUGACUUUGGAAAUUCUUUGGACAUUACGUUGUGAUGUAUGUGUACAACCUGAAAGCUAAACUGCAACUUGAAGAAUGAUAUCAAAGGAAACCAAGGACAGCAUCUUAUUUAAUGAGCAUAAGCAAAAAGUUAAUGAGGGAAAGUACUCAAAAAAAAAGGUUGAGGAAAAAACAAAACUUUCAGAAUCCUUUCUUAGUGACGAAGACAAUGCUAAGCUUCUUAUAGAAAUCGUAAACGAGUCUGUUACGGUGAAUCUUUGAAACAAUAUUAUUAUGCUGAAUAUUAUUUUGUGAUAAAAGAACAUGUGAACAAAGUGUAUUUCAAGAAAAACUAAGAUGGACAAUUUCUUAGUAUAUAAGAUAAUUAAUAAGUUUAGAAUAAAUGUAAACAAGUAUCAGCAGUUAGUGUUAACGAUAAAGCGAUUGAUAAGUACAUAAUGAAUGUGAAUUUGAAUAGCCGGCUUUCACUGAU